rnacentral:rRNA from 1 species
AUAAGCGGAGGAAAAGAAACCAACAGGGAUUGCCCUAGUAACGGCGAGUGAAGCGGCAACAGCUCAAAUUUGAAAGCUGGCUCUCGGGCCCGCAUUGUAAUUUGCAGAGGAUGCUUCUGGCGACGCGCCUUCCGAGUUCCCUGGAACGGGACGCCAUAGAGGGUGAGAGCCCCGUCCGGUCGUGCGCCUAGCCUCUGUGAAGCUCCUUCGACGAGUCGGGUAGUUUGGGAAUGCUGCUCAAAAUGGGAGGUAUACGUCUUCUAAAGCUAAAUACCGGCCAGAGACCGAUAGCGCACAAGUAGAGUGAUCGAAAGAUGAAAAGCACUUUGAAAAGAGAGUUAAAAAGUACGUGAAAUUGUUGAAAGGGAAGCGCUCAUGACCAGACUUGGGCUGGCCCGAUCAUCCGGCGUUCUCGCCGGUGCACUCGGGCCGCCCAGGCCAGCAUCAGCUUUCGCCGGGGGAUAAAGGCGGCGGGAAUGUGGCUCCCUCGGGAGUGUUAUAGCCCGCCGUGCAAUACCCUGGUGGGGGCUGAGGUUCGCGCGUAUGCACGGAUGCUGGCGUAAUGGUUAUCAGCGACCCGUCUUGAAACACGGACCAA